rnacentral:lncRNA from 1 species
GAAAUUCUUUGUUGGGGAGAGUAUUCUGCUAGGACUGCUGUAAAAUACUCCCCAUUUCCAACAAACCUUCCUUUUGUGCUUUUAAAAUUUCUUGUUACUGUUUUUUUCAGAGGGAAGAUCAGUCUGAAUUAUGUUGCUAGAAAAAAAGUUCAAACUUUGGUUUGGAUACAAAAAUAAAUUCUGAAUCUAAUUGACCACAUCCAACAUGAGUUAAUAUUUGGCAAUUUUGAUAAAUUCCAUCUUCCAGGUUUUUGUGCUUUUCUGUUUAAGUUUCAGACAGACGUUCCAGGGGAAUUUUAAAAUUGUCUUGGAACCCUUGAUGGUAGAUUGUAAGAAGCAGGUACUGGGGAAAAAGAUUGCAGGCAGGGCAAAGAGCUUUUCUCUUUCUGCUUUCCUUUUUAGUUGUGUAGUGAGAAGAAAGCAACGGUAAUGAGUGCAAUUGUGCCAGUGACACCCUAAAAACCAGCUGGAACUCAUAUUUAACUCUUACACUUCUUUAUGAUUACUUUUUGUUGUAAUAUGAAGAGAUUAGAAAAUGGGGUUCUGGAAAAAUUAGCAAGUCCAAUUUCAGAGGGUUAAUAAGGAUCAUUAAUUUCCAGUGAUUACUGCAGAGCAUGCUCACCUGUGCCUGUAGCUGUGCUGUUUGGCUGCCUCGGGUCCUCGCAGAGCCUCGUGGCUCCUGUGCAGGGACCUGCUGGUGCGAAAGGGGAGCCUGCUGCGGGUGCUGCUGGGGGCACGGGGAGCUCCCGCACAGAAGGGGACAGCUGGUAUUUAAACGGUUAAAAUAUCACCACAUUUCACUCGUCUUGGGUUUCUCAUAAACAUUCAGCAAAGCAGUUUCAUUGAAUCACACAUAUUAACUACUUAAAUUCCCCUCUCCAAGGAUGUGGAUUGUUAUUUUAUGCCAAAUGUGCUGUAAUUAAGUUUGACAUAAGCACAUGGAUUAAAUAUGUGGUUUCGUGGGCAAAUGGGAGAUGGCUUUUCCUUCUAGCCAUAUGGAGAAUCCAGCCAAAUAAUGUAAGGCGGGGGUCAGGAAGGGGGGGUAUAAUUCUUUAUGCUUUACUUUAUUAUUCAGUGUUGUCUCUUUUAUUAAAAUUGUACAGGUUAAUCUGCUGGUGCCAAGUACAUCCACAUUCAUUUAACCACCCUAGAAAAAUGUUAACAUCAGGCAUUACCCUGGCUUUCUUGGUGUACUCCCUAUGAAAUGUGUGUAUCCAUAUAUUUAUACAUCUAUACAUAUGAUUUUUAGGGUAGAAGUGAUAGAGGAAGCAUCUAUGGGAUAAUAAUAGAUUCUUACUGAAUUAUCAGUGAAGUUUUUCUCGGAUUGAUACUUUUUUUUUUUUCAUUGUCAAAUUGUAGCAAGAAUACUGUGCCUUUUGGUUUGUUUAUAGUAUUGUGGUGUGCUUUAUCAUUCAGUUUCUGUGAAUUGAGUUUUGCAAUGAUAAUGGGACCUCAACUGAGGGCCUUUAUUGUAGUAGUAGUAGUAGCAGCAGAAGUAGUAGUAGUAUUCUUCAUUAUUAUUAUUAUUAAUUGUUACUACAUACUACUUUUCUGACAACAGCAUACAAGUCAGGAUGCAGUUUUCAUAGUGCUUGCUGAUGUGUAAGCUCAGGGGAAAAUGAGAUAUGUAUUCUGAAAAUACUACUCUCUAGUUUAAGACCAAAUAAAAGUGACUACAGUAAAACUUAUGGAGGUAAG